CCAGCCCAUUAAGUGAAGCUAUUGGCUUCUAUAUCAUGUAUCUUAAAACGUAGGGUUUCUGAAUUGAACUUCCUUUCUUUCUCUUCAUGUCGCCGCAGGGAGCGUAGUAAAAUAAAAUUUUUCUCUGUCAGUCGCUUUGGAUCAUUAACACUUUUCUCUUAGUUGCCAUGUUUUCACUCUUUCUCAGCUCGCAUAGAUAUAUCUUCGGUGGAUCGGUGGUUAUGAAGUGAUUUCAACAGAGGUGUCUCAUUUUGUGUGGUGGCUCACAACUCUCGUUAAGUCUUCAUCUUUUUUCUUUUCUUUAUCUAUCAUUCUCUAUCAGUUUCUGCAUUUGUAACAGAAUCUCAUCAUGUAGAUUAUCUGAAGCUCAUCCUUAUCUCUCAUUCUAUUAA